rnacentral:rRNA from 1 species
UACGUAGGUGACAAGCGUUGUCCGGAUUUACUGGGCGUAAAGAGCGCGCAGGCGGUCGAUCAAGUCGAGUGUGAAAGCCCCCGGCUCAACUGGGGAGGGUCAUUCGAUACUGAUCGACUCGAAGGCAGGAGAGGGUAGUGGAAUUCCCGGUGUAGUGGCGAAAUGCGUAGAUAUCGGGAGGAACACCAGUGGCGAAGGCGACUACCUGGCCUGUUCUUGACGCUGAGGCGCGAAAGCUAGGGGAGCAAACGGG